AUGUAGCACGUCUCGCCUAAUGAAGAAUCGGUGUCCUGUCUCUGGGCUCCCCCGGCAUCACUUCAGUGCAAGGACCCGUCUGACACUACUUAUGCCAGGUCCUGCCUCCCUCACAGGAGAAGCAGUCUGCAACUUUUGCUGCUCUAGACAACACUUCAUCUCCGAGAGGCAGAGCUCUGCAGAGCGGAUCUGGGGAGCAGUGACCAGGCAUCAAAACUCUGUCCAGCCUGUCUGA
rnacentral:lncRNA from 1 species